AUCCAGCUGAGUCCCAAAUAGAACUGAACGUGCGUCCUGGAU
rfam:Schistosoma curassoni strain Dakar, Senegal genome assembly, scaffold: SCTD_scaffold0002272